rnacentral:lncRNA from 1 species
UUGGUACCAGGAGCAGCUCUGAUGUGGCUGCUUUGCCCUUAUGUGGCCCGGGGCUUUCAGCUUGGGAGAAAACGUUCAGCCUGGUCUUGGAUGAAACAAGAAGGUACCAGAGGGGAGCCAGGGCAGCCAUGUUGUUUGUCAGAAGAGAGGACCACAUGUGCCUGUCUCAGGAUGAUUGGCAAGGCAAGAGGAUACCAGUGGGAAAAGGUGAAAGAUUCUUAGAAGCAAUGAGCUACCAAACCAUUACACUGCACAGCACUAGGAAGGAGAAGAGGACUUUCAGUUGAGAAAGACUCUACCAUGAGCUGGAAAAUGGAACUUCUGUGUUGGAUGUUUCCUGUGAGCUCAGAAUUUGGGGUCUGUCAGGUUGAAAGCUACAGGGUGAUACUCAGAGACUGUAAAAGGACUUUAAGUCGUCCCAUUUGACUUGGUGUGUAGCACACUAUCUGAAGCAGGCAUCUUGCUUCUUGAUCAAGAUAGACACAGCAAACCAGUCUUUCUAAAAACCAACCAACCAGAUUUACUUAUUUAACAUGUAUGAGUGUUUUUUUUUUCUGCAUGAAUGUGUGUGCUCCAUGUGUAUGUGUGUUCCGUGUGUGCUCCAUGUGUCUCUGCCCAAGGAGUCAGAAGGGAUUGUCAGCAUCCCUGGAACUGGAGUUGCAGAUGGUUGUGAGCCACCAUGUGUGAGCUGGGAAUCCAACCUGGGUGCUCUGUGCUCUUACCCGCUAAGCCACCCUUUUGGCCCGUAGGGUGGGGCUGAACUUUCCUCAUAGAGUAUAAUUUUUAGAAAAUACAGAUUUUAAAAUUACUGGUGUAUAGUUUUAAAACAUUAGUGGAGACAUCAAUUCAAAAUAUCUAACCUGGAUAUUGUUUUUUUGUGUUUACGUUGUAAGCAGUUCAUAUUUUCUACUUUGAAACACUGGAAGUUUCUUUGAAGAGAGUUUUUUUUUUUUAUCACGUAUUAUUUUGACUGGGAGAUUUGCCACCACAGGAUUGUCACAUUUGGUGAUAAGCCACACGAAUAUGUCACCAACCUAAAAAUACGUUGGCAUGUUUAUUAUUUCUUUUCUUCAUUUCUUUCAUUCUUGCAGUUAAACUCUACUCUGGAACUAUUUAACGAGAAGGUGACAUUAGGAAAGAAAGAUUUCUUUUUUCUCCUGAUAAAGACAGAUAAGCUGGGAGCUAGUGAGAAGUCAGCUGGUUCAAGCCAUCUCUCGCCUCAAGAAUUCACCUUUCACAUGUUUCUGCACUGUUAUUCUAGUCCCUACGAGCGGCUGCACCCGUCUCCACCCUUAGCAGAGCAGACAGAGGGCACAGUAAGGAAAUGUCAAAAGGCAGAAACCGAAUGACCUACAGGGGUGUUUCUAUCAAUUUGGAGAUACUGGCUGGAGCCUGUAUGUAUGAGGCUCACGCUGGCUUGAGUUUUCCCAAAGCCAGUUCCACAGCUGCCCUUCACGAUUAUGGUAGACUUAAGUCUAUAUCCACUGAGGGUCUUAAGUAGAGACUGUGUUGGAGGGAACGGAUCGAACAUUGGGGUUUUCUCAAAAGAUUACAUGGGACUCCUCAGGUAAAACUGCCUGAGCCUCUCCUUCCUGACGCAGUGCACACCAGGUCUCAGGAAACAGCAGGUCUUAAUUAGCCCUCCAGUUUAUAGUUUCACCUGAAAAAAUACAUUUAAAAAAAAUCAUAUAUAGUUGGCUGUCGAGAUUUUUCAAGUCAAUAAAUUCUUGCUAAUUAAUCACAUUAACGGUACUCCUUAAAAGUUGAAACAGAAUCAGAAAACAAACCAAAAUCCCCAUAAAUAUCCUACAUAAAGGCCUAUUCACAGAUCCUUUUUCAGUUUGGAAGACUUUUACAAGUGUUUUUCCCUUCCUGACAGGACACACGCAUGCACAGGCACAUGCACGCACACACGCACACACACACACACACACACACACACACACACCUACUGUGUCACUCACCAUAGCUGUUACUAUCUGCACAGGAAGGUGGUUCUGGGAACAGAUUUUGAUACCUCAGGACAUCACCGUAAUUGCCUUAGUGCUUAAGUGUUCCUACUUGGGACUGGUUUAAAGGAUAAGAACUCAGAAACGUUGGGAGCAAAGUUACUUGUCUCAGAGUCCCCUCCCCAGAAAGAUAAUCAUAUGAAAAGAUGUUCAGCUGGGAACACAGAGGGGAUGGUGGAUGUCUUGCUUACCAUCUGCAAAAGGACCCUAAUUCUUAGCAUGUGCUUGCUCCUCUAAUAUUCUGUCUGAUGCCUUGAUCUGUAACAGAACACAAUGUCCCAAAGCAGGGUUGUUUAAAUCCACUUUAGAAACAUAGCCAAACAGAUCCAAAUUUCCACCUCUCUCCACGGUGUGUGUCCUGAGACUAAUGUUGCCAAUGGUCAUUAAAACGGCUUCUCCUGAGCUAGAGAGGUGGCCCCAUGGGUGCAAGCACAAGCUGCUCUUGCAGAGGAUCCAUGAACGGUUCCCAGCAGCCAAAUCCUACAGCUUAAUCCAGCUCCAGGUAGAUCUGCCUCAGCCUGCAUGUACCCUAUAGACAGACAAACAGACACACACACAUGAAAAUAACUUUCCAAACUUGUAAACCAUAGUUCUUCAAUUUUUUUUAUUUGUUUGUUUCCAUCGAGUGUGCUGUGAUUUAGAAUUCUUAGCUGGAGCUGCCCCACCCACCACGACAAUCUGAGACUUGGAAUCUGAACCUGGAGUUGGAAGCAGAACUUUAGAUCAGUGUGAUGCUCCUCCUGCACAGAGGCUUCUUGUGGUAGACGUCAGUCAACACUGAAACCCACAGCUCAUCAACACUCAGAGAAAAGGAGACCUUGAGACCCUGAAUCCUACGUGACAUGUUUAUAUUAUAUCCCUCAUUUCGAAGCUAACGUGUCUACAUAGAAGAGGAGGCAGAAAGAUUGUAAGAAUCAGAAGCAAUGGAUGGUUUCAAAGAAAGAAUGUCUUCCAGACAUAGCAGAGCAGAUGCACGUAUGACCUCACAGAGACUGUGGUAGCAUGCACAAGACCCGCACAAACUCAAGCUAGACAUAAUCUCGGCACACAGGAGGUGUGAAGGAUCAAACCCAGGACCGUGUUCAGGCUAAGCAAGCAUCCAACCACUGCGCUACAUCAGAAGCCCUUUUUUUGUGACUGGCUCUCUCUAUGUAAAGCUGACCUUGAACUUCCUCUGUACUCCACAUUGACCUGGAAACUGUCCUCUCUCUACCUACAUAGUGCUUGGAUUAUAGCUGUGACCACCUCAGGUGAACAUGCUUUCAUUUCUUCUGAUACUUUUACAUGUUAUUAUCAAGAUGGCCUAACUCUAAUUUUCCAUUUCUGUAGGGGAAAAUGUCUAUAAACAUUUCAGCUCAAUAAAUAGUUGAUUGUGGUGG